rnacentral:rRNA from 1 species
UUCCACAGCCAUAUCACCCUGCAGCCCAAGACCGGUUACUCACUGAAGCUAAGCAGGGCUGAGCCUGGUUAGUACCUGGAUGGGAGACCACUAGGGAACACUAGGUUGCUGUUGGAA